rnacentral:rRNA from 1 species
GACGAACGCUGGCGGCGUGCUUAACACAUGCAAGUCGAACGGACAGGCCCUGCUUUUGCUGCUUUCUCGAUUGGCGCACGGGUGAGUAACACGUGAGUAUCCUCUCCCUGUCUUACGGAUAUCUCUUCGAAACUCGGGCUCAUACCCGAUAUGAUCUCCUGCUGCAUGUUGUUGGUUGGUAAGUUUCGGCGGUUGUGGCUGGACUCGCUGCUUAUCCGCUUGUUGGUGUGGUAGUUGCUUACCAAGGCUUUGACGGGUAGCCUGCCUGAGAGGGUUACCGGCCACAUUGGGACUGAGAUACGGACCAGAAUCCUACGGGAGGCAGCAGUGGAGAAUAUUGCAGAAUGGGGGGGGGCCUGAUGUAGCAACGCCGCGUGCGGGAUGACGGGCUUCGGGUUGUAAACAACUUUGGAAUGUAACGAAGCGUGAGUGACGGUAAUGAGUAAAGAAGCAACGGCUAACUACGUG